rnacentral:tRNA from 1 species
GAGAUAUUAGAAAAACUAUUUCAUGGCUUUGUCAAAGCCAAGUUACAGACUAAGUCCUGUAUAUCUUA